UUUCUCUCUAAAGUUCAAGUGCCAGUGAAACGAACGAUAGAAAAAAAAGAAGCAUUCAAAAUGUUCGCAAAAUUUUUGGUUUGGAUAUAAAAAACCAAGUGAAAAUGAUACUGGAAAGACUGUUUACCGUUUAACUCCUGUCCC
rnacentral:lncRNA from 1 species